rnacentral:lncRNA from 1 species
CUUAUCAUACGCUUCAUGGACAAUAUCUGAAAGCUGCUCACUAACCUCUCUUAUUUACACUGGGUCUACCAGCAUGCACAUGCAUAAACACAAAGGACACGGAGGCCUGGGCUCAGAGGAAGUCAAACAUGGCGCUUACUUAACAAAAGCGGCCACAUUAAAGAGAUAAUAGCUUCCACAGGCAGCUGCACGGAGCUCUAACAUGGCAGAGACACGGUGAAAACAUGUCGACAUCCGGAGGCGAACAACUGGGUCUCUACUCACCAGGUAUGUGGGCGUGGCCUCGAAACUGUAGGUGUGCAGCCGCAGGUCGACUGUGCGGCUGUGUGCUGAAAGGAUGCUUUCAAGGUGGGACAUACAGAAGCAAAGCUAGAUAUUGAACUACUAUUUUUCCUCACCCACUUGCCUUCAGAAAUCUCCAGUUAACACCAGGUAUAAAUGUCACACAAUAUAGCUGUCAUUCAAUUAAUAUACUGUAUAUGAAAAGUGGAUAAUUUUUAAGUUUUUUUGACCCCCUUAUUCAUUUUGGGGGCAAGACAUUAAAACCAUCUCCUGUUCUUUAAAUGUUUAAACUAGAAUUAUUGGCAGAGCUAAAUUAGACUGUACAGGGGUGGCUAGUACAGUGAGUGUUGUUACUUUUGCUCAGUUAUCAAAAUAUGUAUAAUACAUAAAUAAUAUGUGUAUUUUUGUAGUUUUGUGUAGUUUAUAUAUUUUUUCUGGUGCUAUUAAAAGUUGAACAUGUUU